rnacentral:rRNA from 1 species
GGCUGCAGUCGAGAAUCUUCGGCAAUGGGCGCAAGCCUGACCGAGCGACGCCGCGUGUGGGAUGAAGGCCUUCGGGUUGUAAACCACUGUCGGGGGGGAUGAAAUACUUAGGAGUUAUCUCCUAGGCUUGACAUAUCCUCGGAGGAAGGACGGGCUAAGUUCGUGCCAGCAGCCGCGGUAAGACGAACCGUCCAAACGUUAUUCGGAAUUACUGGGCUUAAAGGGUGCGUAGGCGGCGCGGAAAGUAGGGUGUGAAAUCCCUCGGCUCAACCGAGGAAUGGCGCUCUAAACUACCGUGCUUGAGGAAGAUAGAGGAGAGCGGAACUUAGGGUGGAGCGGUGAAAUGCGUUGAUAUCCUAAGGAACACCGGUGGCGAAGGCGGCUCUCUGGAUCUUUUCUGACGCUGAGGCACGAAAGCUAGGGGA